UUGCCUGAGUGCCUGGAACGCAGCUCGCUUCCUCAGCAGGGUGUGGGCAAUGCCACCAGAUGGUUAGGGGAAAAAAGAGGCCAUCUCUCAGGGAAUGCGUGUUCCUGCUGAGCAUGGAGGAAAGGAAGGUGAGGCAGCUUUGGAACUCAACAAAUUUUAUUAAACCUGUCAGUUAGAGAGAGCCAUUGUUGGUACAACAGCACCAUCUGCUGUUAGUUUAGAGCAACUGCUAGGAGCUACUAGCAUACCUGCAUAAUUGCUGGGAGGGAUUUUAUUAAUUUAUAUUUUUGUUAUUCAAGCAAUAUCUCUUGAGAACCUACUGCUGUGGAGCACAGGGAAGCAGACGAGGACAAGGUAAAAACAGUCCUCAUCCAUAUGGAGUUAUAGUCUACAAGUCUGGUUCUUGGGUCUGAAACCUGACUGCACAUCCCAGUCACCUGAGGAACUUUCUGCACAUCCCAGUCACCUGAGGAACUUUUUCUGACUCCUGACCAGUGUGGAAUCUGUCUUUCAAAAAGCUUCCCAGUCGAUUGAGAUGCAGCCUGCCCAUGGAGUGGAGAAGUCUGUGGUCCAUGUGAACUACUGAUCUAGUACAACUCUUUCCCUUUACAAAUAGGGAAACUGAGGCCCAGAAAGGGGAAGGGUCACCCAGUGAGCAAGUCAGAGAGACAGGUCCAGAACACAGGUGUCCUAGCUACCAGGUCAGUUGCACUUUCUAGAUACUGUGCUGUCUUCCUUCUUUAUGGCUUUCAUCUUCUUGUUGUAUAAAAGGAUUUUAAAAGAUUAUACUAAAACUUGUAAACGAAGCAAUUCUAGCACUCAGCUCAGGCUGAUCAACACGGUGAGUGAUCUGAUAAUGCCCUCUGCAGUACAGGAGGAGAGAAGUGGGCAGAAAGGUCAGCUUCUGCUUACACGACCAGCAGGGAGGCCUCCCUGAUGAUAAUUUCAGCACUUUUGCUGUGUGGCUAGUUUCAAUUUUUAACUCUUUUUACUCAACUAAUAUAAGGAUGAGUAAGUAAUACAGCAUUGUAGGAAAACUAGGCAAUAUAGAUAGGCAAAAAAGGAAAAUGAAUGUAAUUUACCACUCAGAAAUAAUUAUUCUUAAUAUUUUAAUGGAUUUAUUUCAGUAUUUUUUGUCUUUUUUUCUUUGCUUAUGAACAUCCUCUCCCGUAUGUAUGUAUGUAUGUAUGUAUGUAUGUAUGUAUGUAUGUCUGUCUGUCUGUGUGUGUGUAUAUAUAUAUAUAUAUUUUUUAAUGUUUUUUAAAAACAGAAUUUGGGUCACAUUUGCAUUAUAUUUCAAAGUUUUGAGGUUGCUAGUCUUAUGAGGAGGCAGGUAGGGUGUCAUUAUAUUUGUUUUACAGAUGAGGACACUGAGGUCCAGGGAGACAAAAUGGCACUCCCCAAGUCCCCUCACUGGUCAGGGCUGUCCAGGACUGGAUGCCAGGCCUCCUGAUUUCUGGUUACUGUAGUCAGCAUGAGGCUGGGAUGCUGUGCUCUGCCUUUCAGGGGUUGGAGUGCUUAGCGGACAGCUGUACGCCACAGGUGGGCAUGAUGGGCCUUUGGUGAGGAAGAGCGUUGAGGUUUACGAUCCUGGAACAAAUACCUGGAAGCAAGUGGCAGACAUGAACAUGUGCCGGCGCAACGCAGGGGUCUGUGCAGUAAAUGGGCUCCUGUAUGUGGUUGGAGGGGAUGAUGGAUCCUGCAACUUGGCUUCGGUGGAGUACUACAAUCCUGUCACUGACAAAUGGACGCUGCUUCCAACGAACAUGAGCACGGGGCGGAGCUAUGCAGGUGUUGCCGUGAUUCACAAGUCCUUGUGACCCAAACUCCUACUGCCAGGAGGUGGAGGAAGGAGCAGGUGCUGCCUGUGACUCUGAACAGCAGGACCUUGGUGACUGGAUUCAACUUGCUUGGGAGGGUCUGUGCUGCUGUGAGAACCGCUCUCCUCUGACUUGGCAGACUGGUGUUGUUCAUCGCAGUGUGGACACCAUUACCCACCCCCGUUCCCCUGAGGUGCUCUGGCCUAUGCCCUGAGCAAGGGGGGUCUUGACAUCCCCAGGCAGCACCUUUGGGCUUUGUUUUGGUGUUUCUACAGGGACAAUACAGACCCUGGAGUGUGUGUGUGUGUGUGUGUGUGUGUAGACCAUGGUGUUUCUCUAUGUUUCUCUAAGUUGGGGGGUGAGCGUGUGUGACAGUCUACUGGAUUUCUUUACUACUGAUCCUUUCGCUGUGUUAAAAAUCAAGUCACAGAGACCUCUCUUCUGGAUUUGUCCCAUGGGGACCCUGAGACUACUAAAGCUGCUUUCUUCUGAAGGUCCAGUUGGACAGUCUGGGAAUGUCCAGAAAUAACCAGUGAGAGGGGCAGUUCUCUGGCCACACCCACUUAUGUACUUUAACUACUGUGACUUUGUCUGCAGAAGAGCUGGAAAAUUCUCGAAGCUGCACCGUGUCCUCUGUGUGCUAGAAUAAGGGACAAAUGGGUUCCCUGUGCUUCUCAGCUCACUGUUUUUCCUUGAGUUCUCCUACAGGAAGCAGAUGAGAACUGCCCAGUCUUCAGGUUUAGGCCAUUGGUCUUUGAUGUCAUAGAUUCCAGGCCUGGGAGGUGUUAUGUCUCUUCAGCUGGGAAAACUAGCUCUUCAGAGAAGCCUCGGGUAACACUGAAAAACAAAACAAAACAAAACAAAAACAGGAAAAAAA
rnacentral:lncRNA from 1 species